rnacentral:rRNA from 1 species
AAGUGAGUGGCGGACGGGUGAGUAACACGUGGGUAACCUGCCCAGAAGCAGGGGAUAACACCUGGAAACAGAUGCUAAUACCGUAUAACAGAGAAAACCGCCUGGUUUUCUUUUAAAAGAUGGCUCUGCUAUCACUUCUGGAUGGACCCGCGGCGCAUUAGCUAGUUGGUGAGGUAACGGCUCACCAAGGCGAUGAUGCGUAGCCGACCUGAGAGGGUAAUCGGCCACAUUGGGACUGAGACACGGCCCAGACUCCUACGGGAGGCAGCAGUAGGGAAUCUUCCACAAUGGACGCAAGUCUGAUGGAGCAACGCCGCGUGAGUGAAGAAGGGUUUCGGCUCGUAAAGCUCUGUUGUUAAAGAAGAACGUGGGUGAGAGUAACUGUUCACCCAGUGACGGUAUUUAACCAGAAAGCCACGGCUAACUACGUGCCAGCAGCCGCGGUAAUACGUAGGUGGCAAGCGUUAUCCGGAUUUAUUGGGCGUAAAGCGAGCGCAGGCGGUCUUUUAAGUCUAAUGUGAAAGCCUUCGGCUCAACCGAAGAAGUGCAUUGGAAACUGGGAGACUUGAGUGCAGAAGAGGACAGUGGAACUCCAUGUGUAGCGGUGAAAUGCGUAGAUAUAUGGA